ACGCACGCUGGCGGCGUGCUUAACACAUGCAAGUCGAACGGAAAGGCCCUGCUUUUGUGGGGUGCUCGAGUGGCGAACGGGUGAGUAACACGUGAGUAACCUGCCCUUGACUUUGGGAUAACUUCAGGAAACUGGGGCUAAUACCGGAUAGGAGCUCCUGCUGCAUGGUGGGGGUUGGAAAGUUUCGGCGGUUGGGGAUGGACUCGCGGCUUAUCAGCUUGUUGGUGGGGUAGUGGCUUACCAAGGCUUUGACGGGUAGCCGGCCUGAGAGGGUGACCGGCCACAUUGGGACUGAGAUACGGCCCAGACUCCUACGGGAGGCAGCAGUGGGGAAUAUUGCACAAUGGGCGGAAGCCUGAUGCAGCAACGCCGCGUGCGGGAUGACGGCCUUCGGGCUGUAAACCGCUUUCGCCUGUGACGAAGCGUGGGUGACGGUAAUGGGUAAAGAAGCACCGGCUAACUACGUG
rnacentral:rRNA from 1 species